CUGAGAUUAGGUUAUGAAAAGAUUGUGACUUCUGAUUUGUUCUCUCUCUCUCUCUUUCUCUCUCUCUCUUUCUCUUUCUCUCUCAACAUUUGUUCUGGGGAAAGCCAGCUGCCAGCUGGUUGUGGCUAAGGAGAGACAUACAUGGCAGAGAACUGAUGUCUCCAGACAACAUCCAGCAAGGACUGAAGUCUGCCAACAGUUACAUGAGUGAGCCUGAAAGUGGAUCCUUCCGUAGUUGAGCCUUGAGAUGACCACAGCCUAGGAAAAGAAAGAAAUAAAAGCAAAACAAUUUCGGAAUCACUCCCUAUAACCACGGAAAUGAUUUUAAUUACCAAUUCAUCUGUUGGCAGACUCUUCUGGCAGAUGUACCUGCAACUUGGAAAGAUAACAAAUGAACCAAUUCCUUACUCCAGAGUUGACACUGGUAGUGCUUACUGAAUUUGCUCUCAAAAAAAGAAUCCUGGGCAACAAUACAUCUGGCACUCUGCUCGAGGAAUUUGUCAUGUCAUUGACAUGUUCAGCCUCCAUUGUCCACACCACCCUGACAGCAGACCUCUGACUAUGUGAAGAUACGGUGGGAAGAUGACUGUCCACAAGACAGGAAGAGAGCCCUCACCGAGGAACCAAAUUGGCCAGUAUCUUGAUCUUGGAUUUCUCAGCCUCAAGAACCAUGAGAAAUGAAUGUCUGUUGUUCAAGCCACCCAGUCUAUGGUAUUUUGUUAUGGCAGCCCCAGCUGACCAAGAGAGUGCAUAUGAA
rnacentral:lncRNA from 1 species